UGCAACACAGCUGAGGUGCAGAGCCCACAUGAAUAGAGAGCAGAGAAGAGAAAAACAGAGGAGAGGCAGCGGCCCUGACAAUCACUCUGAUAUCCCAGCCCAGAAUGAUCUGGAAAAUAAAGGAAUUAAAGACUCAUUUUCGAGUUCACAAACAGAACACUGAGGAGAAACGGCUUUUAUAGAUAAAAUUACUUACAAGGGUAAAAUUUUUGAGAGGUUUUGAUGUGACCCUCUUUAAUUUAUUGCACCUAAAAGUUGGUUUGCUAUCCAUCAAUCAAUCAAUCAAUUCAUGAAUUAAUUUGAUCUGGAUGUGAACCUCUCCCAGGGCAAGAGGCGGAGGAGCCCGUUGCAUGUGGCCUGCAGCCUGGGAGACGACGCCGUGCUGCGGCUGCUGCUGAAACACGGAGCCAGUGGAACCUGGAGGAGGCACAGCACCAGGUGUGUGUGUUCACUGACAGCUGCAUUUCUGAACUUGUGCUUGUUUCAGAACCCGUGUGAAGACAGGAUCAGGUGUUUAUUGCUGUAGGGAUGUUUUGGAUGUUUUUAAAUAAGGCACCAACUGUCUUUUGUCUUUACGUCUACAUACGAGAAACAUCUUGUGUUUCCCAGAUGUGCCUCAGCGGGGGAUGAUGGCCUCGUUUUGGUGUGGAAUAUUGAGACCGGUGAGAGGCUGCAGGAGCUGAGGGGCCAUUCCCAGCAAAUAUCAGCCAUAACCACCUUCACCUGUAACAAUGGCGUCACUUUGCUUAUCACUGCUUCAUCUGACAGAAGUCUCAGUUUGUGGGACCCUGAUACUGGCAACAGGGUUCAGACCAUUUCAGAUCUUCAGUCUUCUGUAAAGGUAAUUGCCCAAAUGGGAUUUCUUUCCCCCAUAUAUACAAUUGUAACUAAAAACAAUAUAAACUAAAAACUAGUCCAAAUUUAAAAUAGGUUUGCCUAAACCCAGUGAAAUAUCCAUUCAGCAUCU